rnacentral:rRNA from 1 species
GCGCAGCAGUCGCGAAACCUCCGCAAUGCGGGAAACCGCGACGGGGGACCCCGAGUGCCGUGGCAACGCCACGGCUUUUCCGGAGUGUAAAAAGCUCCGGGAAUAAGGGCUGGGCAAGGCCGGUGGCAGCCGCCGCGGUAAUACCGGCGGCCCGAGUGGUGGCCGCUAUUAUUGGGCUUAAAGCGUCCGUAGCCGGGCCCGUAAGUCCCUGGCGAAAUCCCACGGCUCAACCGUGGGGCUUGCUGGGGAUACUGCGGGUCUUGGGACCGGGAGAGGCGGGGGGUACCCCUGGGGUAGGGGUGGAAAUCCUAUAAUCCCAGGGGGACCGCCAGUGGCGAAGGCGCCCCGCUGGAACGGGUCCGACGGUGAGGGACGAAGGCCAGGGGGGCAAACCGGAUUAGAUACCCCCGUAGU